UACAGAGGGUGCAAGCGUUAAUCGGAGUUACUGGGCGUAAAGGGUGUGUAGGCGGUUAUUUAAGUUUGGUGUGAAAUCUCCCGGCUCAACCGGGAGGGUGCGCCGAAUACUGAAUGACUAGAGUGCGGGAGAGGUGAGUGGAAUUCCUGGUGUAGCGGUGAAAUGCGUAGAUAUCAGGAGGAACACCGGUGGUGUAGACGGCUCACUGGACCGUAACUGACGCUGAGACACGAAAGCGUGGGUAGCAAACGGG
rnacentral:rRNA from 1 species